rnacentral:misc_RNA from 1 species
GACAUGGGUUGUGAGAGGCUGCGGAGACAGAUGCUAAACCUUGACUUAGCCUUUACUGAAAGAUCCUCGUACUCCUUACUGAUUUCAACCGGUAAUUUGUCUAAUAGAAUUGGAGAACAAUUAGGAUAAUUUGUAGGCACGAGCAAUCUAAGAGGCUGAAUUGGUGACAUUUGUGCUGAAGCAUACUGUGAUUUCAAAUUUGGACUAAGAGCUACAGCAUUGA